rnacentral:rRNA from 1 species
GAUGAACGCUGACAGAAUGCUUAACACAUGCAAGUCGAUUCAAGUUACCUUCGGGUAAUGAGGAUGGCGGACGGGUGAGUAACGCGUAAGGAACUUGCCUCUUGGUCUGGGACAACUGUUGGAAACGACAGCUAAUACCGGAUAUUAUGAGAUUCUCGCAUGGGAAACUUAUGAAAGCUAUAUGCGCCAAGAGAGAGCCUUGCGUUCCAUUAGCUAGUUGGUGGGGUAACGGCCCACCAAGGCGACGAUGGAUAGCCGGCCUGAGAGGGUGAACGGCCACAAGGGGACUGAGACACGGCCCUUACUCCUACGGGAGGCAGCAGUGGGGAAUAUUGGACAAUGGACCAAAAGUCUGAUCCAGCAAUUCUGUGUGCACGAUGAAGGUCUUCGGAUUGUAAAGUGCUUUCAGUUGGGAAGAAGCAAGUGACGGUACCAACAGAAGAAGCGACGGCUAAAUACGUGCCAGCAGCCGCGGUAAUACGUAUGUCGCAAGCGUUAUCCGGAUUUAUUGGGCGUAAAGCGCGUCUAGGCGGAAAAAUAAGUCUGAUGUUAAAAUGCGGGGCUCAACUCCGUAUUGCGUUGGAAACUGUUUUUCUAGAGUACUGGAGAGGUGGGCGGAACUACAAGUGUAGAGGUGAAAUUCGUAGAUAUUUGUAGGAAUGCCGAUGGAGAAGUCAGCUCACUGGACAGAUACUGACGCUGAAGCGCGAAAGCNUGGGGAGCAAACAGGAUUAGAUACCCUG